GACGAACGCUGGCGGUGUGCCUAACACAUGCAAGUCGAACGGAAAGGCCCUGCUUUUGUGGGGUGCCCGAGUGGCGAUCGGGUGAGUAACACGUGAGUAACCUGCCCUUGACUUUGGGAUAACUUCAGGAAACUGGGGCUAAUACCGGAUAGGAGCUCCUGCAGCAUGGUGGGGGUUGGAACGUUUCGGCGGUUGGGGAUGGACUCGCGGCUUACGAGCUUGUUGGUGGGGUAGUGGCUUACCAAGGCUUUGACGGGUAGCCGGCCUGAGAGGGUGACCGGCCACAGUGGGACUGAGAUACGGCCCAGACUCCUACGGGAGGCAGCAGUGGGGAAUAUUGCACAAUGGGCGGAAGCCUGAUGCAGCAACGCCGCGUGCGGGAUGACGGCCUUCGGGUUGUAAACCGCUUUCGCCUGUGACGAGGCGUGAGUGACGGUAAUGGGUAAAGAAGCACCGGCUAACUACGUG
rnacentral:rRNA from 1 species